rnacentral:misc_RNA from 1 species
UGUGGGAGCGGGCUUGCUCGCGAAUGCGGUGGAUCAGUCAGUACAUCUGGCGACUGACACUCCGCAUUCGCGAGCAAGCCCGCUCCCACA